UUGCAAAUGGAACAGUUUUCUUAAUUUCUGGAGUUUGGGAAUUUUAAAGCGCCAAGUUUGGGCCGUUUCGACUUGCUCACAUUCCAGUUAUGUAACCAAAACAACGUGAGUUCGAUCCUCCAUGAGUCACACAAGCUGCACCAGGAUCCUUUCUCAGGGUCAAGAUUUGGGUCAAUCACAUCUUCACAAUUU